rnacentral:rRNA from 1 species
AGUGAACGCUGGCGGUAGGCCUAACACAUGCAAGUCGAACGGCAGCACAGUAAGAGCUUGCUCUUACGGGUGGCGAGUGGCGGACGGGUGAGGAAUACAUCGGAAUCUACUUUUUCGCGGGGAUAACGUAGGGAAACUUACUCUAAUACCGCAUACGACCUACGGGUGAAAGCAGGGGAUCUUCGGACCUUGCGCGAUUGAAUGAGCCGAUGUCGGAUUAGCUAGUUGGCGGGGUAAAGGCCCACCAAGGCGACGAUCCGUAGCUGGUCUGAGAGGAUGAUCAGCCACACUGGAACUGAGACACGGUCCAGACUCCUACGGGAGGCAGCAGUGGGGAAUAUUGGACAAUGGGCGCAAGCCUGAUCCAGCCAUACCGCGUGGGUGAAGAAGGCCUUCGGGUUGUAAAGCCCUUUUGUUGGGAAAGAAAAGCAGCAGGUUAAUACCCCGCUGUUCUGACGGUACCCAAAGAAUAAGCACCGGCUAACUUCGUG